CCUACGGGUGGCAGCAGUGAGGAAUAUUGGUCAAUGGCCGAGAGGCUGAACCAGCCAAGUCGCGUGAGGGAAGACGGCCCUACGGGUUGUAAACCUCUUUUGUCGGGGAGCAAAGCGAGUCACGUGUGACUCAUUGAGAGUACCCGAAGAAAAAGCAUCGGCUAACUCCGUGCCAGCAGCCGCGGUAAUACGGAGGAUGCGAGCGUUAUCCGGAUUUAUUGGGUUUAAAGGGUGCGCAGGCGGAGUUGCAAGUCAGCGGUCAAAUUGCGGGGCUCAACCCCGUACUGCCGUUGAAACUGCAUGCCUUGAGUGCGCGAGAGGUAUGCGGAAGGCGUGGUGUAGCGGUGAAAUGCAUAGAUAUCACGCAGAACUCCGAUUGCGAAGGCAGCAUACCGGCGCGCAACUGACGCUCAUGCACGAAAGCGUGGGUAUCGAACAGGAUUAGAUACCCGGGUAGUC
rnacentral:rRNA from 1 species